rnacentral:rRNA from 1 species
GCAGAUGGACCCGCGGCGCAUUAGCUAGUUGGUGAGGUAACGGCUCACCAAGGCGACGAUGCGUAGCCGACCUGAGAGGGUGAUCGGCCACACUGGGACUGAGACACGGCCCAGACUCCUACGGGAGGCAGCAGUAGGGAAUCUUCCGCAAUGGACGAAAGUCUGACGGAGCAACGCCGCGUGAGUGAUGAAGGUUUUCGGAUCGUAAAACUCUGUUGUUAGGGAAGAACAAGUACCGUUCGAAUAGGGCGGUACCUUGACGGUACCUAACCAGAAAGCCACGGCUAACUACGUGCCAGCAGCCGCGGUAAUACGUAGGUGGCAAGCGUUGUCCGGAAUUAUUGGGCGUAAAGCGCGCGCAGGCGGUUUCUUAAGUCUGAUGUGAAAGCCCCCGGCUCAACCGGGGAGGGUCAUUGGAAACUGGGGAACUUGAGUGCAGAAGAGGAGAGUGGAAUUCCACGUGUAGCGGUGAAAUGCGUAGAGAUGUGGAGGAACACCAGUGGCGAAGGCGACUCUCUGGUCUGUAACUGACGCUGAGGCGCGAAAGCGUGGGGAGCGAACAGGAUUAGAUACCCUGGUAGUCCACGCCGUAAACGAUGAGUGCUAAGUGUUAGAGGGUUUCCGCCCUUUAGUGCUGCAGCAAACGCAUUAAGCACUCCGCCUGGGGAGUACGGUCCGCAAGACUGAAACCUCAAAGAAUUGACGGGGGCCCGCACAAGCGGUGGAGCAUGUGGUUAAUUCGAGCAACCGCGAAGAACCUAACAGUCUGACAUCUUCUGCAACCCUAAGAGAUAGGGCUUCCC